AUGUAGGUGGGGGCGGCGGUGGAGGAGGAGGAGGUAGCCAACACUGUUUAUAUAUAUAUAUAUAUAUAUAAAUAUAUAUAUUUUUUUAUUUUUAUUUUUAAUUGGGGUAGCCCCCAAAAUAUUGGGUCAUACAAAAAAAGAAACAUUUGCAGCCUGCGGUGCAUUUCUUGCAUUCCUGAUGCAUGGAGAAAUGCUCAACUCCUGAUGCAUGGAGAAAAUGCCUUCAUCACAAGGGCCACCCAGAACUGGCUUAACUCCCAUCAAGCCAAGUUCCCAGAGGAGAUCACCCAGCUCGUCAUGCUAGAGCACUUUUUCAAUGUGCUCCACAAUGAGAAGGCAACGACGCAUUCUAAUGUCUAACCAUAUCAACUUUCAAUGCCAUUGACUGCGCCUACCAUGGUGACAACGGGUAACGGGGAAUCAUGGUUUGAUUCCGUACAGGGACCCUGACAAACGGUUACCACAUGCAAGGAAAGCAGCA